rnacentral:rRNA from 1 species
UACGUAGGGGGCAAGCGUUGUCCGGAUUUACUGGGCGUAAAGAGCGCGUAGGCGGAAGCUUAAGUGUGGCCUGAAAGCCCCCGGCUCAACCGGGGAAGGUGGCUGCAAACCGGGCUUCUUGAGGGGGAUAGGGGAAAGUGGAAUUCCGGGUGUAGCGGUGAAAUGCGUAGAGAUCCGGAGGAACACCAGUGGCGAAGGCGGCUUUCUGGGUCCGCCCUGACGCUGAGGCGCGAAAGCGUGGGGAGCGAACGGG